GAGAUGAUGACCAUAAUUGGAAAAUUGCCCAUGUGGUACUCAAAGAGGAACAGGAAUUUCGCUAACUUUUCCAGGGCACAAAAGGCGACCCUCGGAACUCAACUGGGGGAAUUUACCUGGAUGACAUCACUCUGACAGAAACCCCCUGCCCCACAGGGGUCUGGACAGUCCAGAAUUUCUCCCAGGUCCUUGAGAACACCAGCGAAGGGGACAAGCUUCAGAGCCCUCGAUUCUACAAUUCAGAGGGAUGCGGUUUUGGGUUAACUUUAUACCCCCAUGGCAGAGAAAGCUCUGGCUAUUUGAGACUUGUUUUUCACGUGUGCAGUGGGGAGAAUGAUGCUAUCCUGGAGUGGCCGGUAGAAAACAGACAGGUGAUAAUUACCAUCUUCGACCAGGAGCCUGAUGUCAGGAACAGGAUGUCCUCAAGUUUGGUGUUCACUACCUCCAAGUUGCACAUAUCUCCAGCGACAAAUGACACUGUCAUCUGGGACAGGCCGUCCAGGGUGGGAACCUAUCAUGCUGACUGUAAUUGUUUUAGAACCAUUGACUUUGGCUGGAGUGGUUUCAUCUCCCACCAAAUGCUGAAAAGGAGGAGUUUCCUGAAAAAUGAUGACCUCAUCAUGUUUGUGGACUUUGAAGGUGCAUCUCUGGACAUGCUUUCUUCUAAAUGGGAGCGCUGUCAGGCCAUGCAGGUGCAUGGCAGCGUCCUGGGCAUGGUGAUCAGAGGCACGGCUGGUGUGAUCUUCUUGACUUUCUCCAUCAUCGCCAUCCUUUCCCAAAGGCCAAGGAAGUGACCUGCCUGUUGGCAUUGGCCAGACCACAGCAGCACCUCCUCCAUGCAGGCCUUACCUUCCAAUGGUCAGUGCAGUUUGGGGCAGCUUUUUAAUCAGCCUUGCUUUGGAUAGGACCUCCAAGGUCUAAGGCCUCCAGCCCCAUGUGUGACCCUUGUCAUCUUUCUGCCCCACAUAAUUCUGUUACUCUGCUAUGUGCUCCUAAUGUAUCUAGUGUGUCCUGUGACAACAUUCAUCAUACUUCAUUAUAAACCACUUGUUUGAUUGACUGUCUUUCCUAUAGACUGUAAGCCCCAUGAGGGCAGGCACAUGUUGUUAUUGACCAUGCUGGCCACAUGCCUAGAUGCAUGGCUGGCACAUUGUGGGCACUCAACAAUGGUUGAAUAAAUAAAACAAUAAAUGAAUGAAUAAGAUAUACAAACUCUCAUUUAUAUUGCAGAUCAAAUAUAUAUGAUGAAAUUCUUAUGUUGAAUAUGUUAGAAUCAAAUACUCAUUUUUCAUUAGACACAGUAGUGUCAUUACUCUUUUAAGAUCUUGUUAAAGAUUUCAAAUAAAGGUACUUCUAGGCAGCCCGGCUUCAUAGCAUUUGCUUUCCUCUGAGAUUCUAAGAGAAGCCCUUUAAUAAGUUUAAUAAAUAUUGAGUUAGCACCUUCUUUGUAUCUGGUAUUGUAUGUACGUGUGGGUGUGCAUGUGUGUGUUGAAGGUUGGGGGUGUUCAAAAGCUCUUUCCCAGAUCUUUUAAGUUUAACAGUAUAUUUUAUAGCUAUUUAUGUACAACAUUAUCAUAUUAACAAACAGAAGGUAUCAGAGAACUUUAAAGAAGUAUUUUCAGAUAUGCCUUCUUUCCAUAGUUCCUAAGGAGAUAAAAAUCUAGCUGGGGCAAGGAAGUUCCAAGAUAGAUCAAGUGAAAAAAAAAAAAGACUAAAGUUUCUAUACCCAAUCAGCAAUGAGUCAGCUCAGGAAAUUUAAUAAACAAAAAUAUUUUAGGGAUUCUGAGUGGUCCUUUAAGUUAUAAGGUUUCCUAAGUAGAGACUUUAUGACAAUUUUGUAGAGUUAAAAUGCACUGGAAACAAAAUGAGAGAUUAACAAGAGUUUCUUUAAUGCAAAGGUAUGAGAACAAUUUGUAGCAAGUGAAAACAGCACCCCUGAGGGCAAUACCUCUCAAACUUGAGGUGCAUCUGUAUCCCAGGGAGGACUGAUUAAAACAGAUUACAGGGCCCCACACUUUACAAACCUCCACUUUCAGUAGAGCCUCCAGGUCCCUCCCAAGAGCUUCCGUAAGUCACCACAACCCAAGAGGACCAGGGAGAUUCCCUCAUGCAGAUGUUCCCAGACCAUGCAUGUGAUGGCAUGUGGAGGGCUUCCCACCUUGACAUCUUCCUGUCCUCUGUAGAAACUGGGUCAGUAGAUCUAGGGUGAGAUCUAAGAAUGUGCAUUCUUAAAUGUGCCAGGAUCUAACAAGGUAUAAGAAUGUGCCAGAAUCUAAUAAGUUCUCAGGCCAUGCUGCUACUGCUACUGACUCCCCCACAACCCCCACCUCACAGACACCUUGAGAACCACUGCUCUAGUGGAUAGAAAACAAGUCUGGAAGCCAAGCAUCCUGGCUGCAGGCUUGGAUUGCCCAUCCAGCUGGCUGGGUAAUUUUAGUAAGAAAUCAUUUAAGCUCUUGAUCUUAGUUGACGAACUUGUCAAAUGGAAAUAAUAGCUGACUAUCUCCUUCCACAUGACUUUACUACUUACAGAGUAGCAGAGAAAUACAAUGGGAUAAUGAAUAUGAACCUAUCUUAGAGUUUAAUAUGUAUGAAAAUAUUACUAUUCAAUGUUCAGACUAGAUAGGAAGCUAUCCUGUCACCAGCCCAGUUGUAUUAUCUCCAAAGUCCAGAUUGGAAAUGGAUUCCAGCUUUGUUUCUCGCUGUGCUUCCCAGUCCUGCAAACUCUCCGCUAACCUCAUAGCUAGGCCUAAAGAAAGCUAUGCCCUUAACACUCUGCUGAGUAUCUGACCUCAGAAGUGAACUCUAGGCUUUGUUGCUGCUGCUGCUGUUAUUGUCCUUUGGUUUUAUUAAAAGGAACAUGCUGUGGUCUGUCUCACAUGGAAAGGCCCCUAGCCCAAACCAAUGACAACAUUUCUUAAAUACAUGAGUUUCUCUCUGGAAGAAGCAGAAGCUCAAAUUUCAAAGAUAACCUAGUAUUUUCAUCUAGUACUGCAAAUUAAAACUGCUAGGUCAAAAUAAUGAUAAGGAGGUACCAGAAUGAGGGUAAAGCAUUUUAAUAUUUAUUUCUCUCUAGAUUCUCAACCAGUACCAUGCCUACUAUCUAUCUUUAUCACUUUUGGUGAUUAAUGGUCACCUCAGUUGAUUAAUGAUCUGGCUCACCAUAAAUCUGACAUGGUAUUCAGUUUUUCUUUGAGCCCAAACCCUCAAUCAUUCCAGGAGGACUAGCAGAUACUUUAUUCUUUUGAGGUGUUGGGAUGGUGAUGGCAAAGUGGGCAUGUAGGAUGGGGAGUGGGUAGAAAUUAAGCAUUUCAUAAUCUCUAGGCAGUAUGGAAUUUGGGAUUUAGAUGAGCAACAUGAAAAAUGUGGGAAAUCCUCCCUGAAUCUGAGUGUCUGACUUCUUUAAUCUUACAUAGUGGUAAUAAAUCAUAGUGGCUUGAAAUUUUGAAAAUGUCUCAUGCUUCCCACACCAUAUCCUUGAUACAUCCCCAUCUGUAUCCUUUCCUUCUGUGAACUGAGCUGAGCCAAUCUGGCCAUUCACAAAUGUCAGGUUCUUUCAGUAAUAUCUGGAGCCUCUGAUAAUUAGAAGUGGAUGGGAACUCUAACCCACUCUCUGAUUAUGUUAAAAUGAAUCAAGAUUUGAACUAAAUUCUGCUACACAUUCAUAUUUGUUAACCAUUGUUGUGAGAAGUCAGGGACUCCAAACGGAGGGACCAGCUGGAGCUGCGGCAGAAGAACAUCAAUUGUGAAGAUUUCAUGGCCAUGUAUCAGUUCCCAAAAUUACUACUUUUAUAAUUUCUUACGCCUGUCUUUACUGCAGUCUCUGAACAUAAAUUGUGAAGAUUUCAUGGACAUUUAUCACUUCCCUAAUAAUAGUCUUAUAAUUUCUUAUGUCUGUCUUUACUCUCUUAAUCCCAUUAUCUUCAUAAGCUGAGAAUGUAUGUCACCUCAGGACCACUAUUGUACAAAUAGAUUGUAAAACAUGUGUGUUUGAACAAUGUGAAAUCAGUGCACCUUGAAAAAGAACAGAAUAACAGCGAUUUUCAGGGAACAAGGGAAGAUAACCAUAAGGUCUGACUGCCUGCAGGGUCAGGCAGAAUAGAACUGUAUUUUUCUUCUUGCAGAGAGCGUAUAAACAGAUGUGCAAGUAGGAGAGAUAUUGCUGAAUUCUUUUCCCAGCAAGGAAUACCUUGGGGAAGGAAUGCAUUCCUGGGGGGAGGUCUAUAAAUGGCCGCUCUGGAAGUGUCUGUCUUAUGUGGUUGAGAUGAGGACUGAAAUAUUCCCUGGUCUCCUGCAAUACCCUCAGGCUUACUAGGAUUGGGAAAUUCCAGCCUGGUAAAUUUUGGUCAGACUGGUUCUCUGCUCUCGAACCCUGUUUUCUGUUAAGAUGUUUAUUAAGACAAUAUGUGCACAGUGGGACAUAGACCCUCAUCAGUAAUUCUAAUUUUGCCUUUGCCUUGUGAUCUUUAUUGCCCUUUGAAGCAUGUGAUCUUUGUGACCUUCUCCUUGUUCGUACACCCCCUCCGCUUUUAAAAUCCUAAUAAAAACUUGCUGGUUUUGUGGCUCAGGGGACAUAACGGACCUACCAAUAUGUGAUGUUACCCCCAGAGGCCCAGCUGUAAAAUUUCUCCUUUGUGCUCUUUCUCUUUAUUUCUCAGACCAGCCAACACUUAGGGAAAAUAGAAAGAACUUGCAUUGAAAUAUUGGAGUCUGGUUCCCCCGAUAAACCAACAAACCCACAAAUAGCCAUCCAACCUGUCUUGUAUGUGUAGGGAAGUCUCUGCUCUGUCCUUUUAAGUGCUCCACCACCAAGCCUCUUGGAUUAAAGGUUCAUUCUACACACAUGCAGUCAAAUAAUCUGAAGGCC
ensembl:lincRNA